GCACUUGGCUCACUGGUUAGAGCGUUAGAUUUCCAAACAAAAUAAUGCAAGUUAAAGCCUUGUGGGUUGCA
rnacentral:tRNA from 1 species